rnacentral:rRNA from 1 species
CCGACGGGUGAGUAACACGUAUCCAACCUGCCGUCUACUCUUGGCCAGCCUUCUGAAAGGAAGAUUAAUCCAGGAUGGCAUCAUGAGUUCACAUGUCCGCAUGAUUAAAGGUAUUUUCCGGUAGACGAUGGGGAUGCGUUCCAUUAGAUAGUAGGCGAGGUAACGGCCCACCUAGUCAACGAUGGAUAGGGGUUCUGAGAGGAAGGUCCCCCACAUUGGAACUGAGACACGGUCCAA